rnacentral:rRNA from 1 species
CCUAUGGGUGGCAGCAGUGAGGAAUAUUGGUCAAUGGGCGGGAGCCUGAACCAGCCAAGUCGCGUGAGGGAAGACGGUCCUAUGGAUUGUAAACCUCUUUAGGCGGGGAGCAAUAAUGGUCACGUGUGGCCAGACGAGAGUACCGUACGAAUAAGCAUCGGCUAACUCCGUGCCAGCAGCCGCGGUAAUACGGGGGAUGCAAGCGUUAUCCGGAUUUAUUGGGUUUAAAGGGUGCGUAGGCUGUGAGGUAAGUCAGCGGUGAAAUGCCCCCGCUCAACGGGGUGAAGUGCCAUUGAUACUGCCUUGCUGGAAUGCGGAUGCCGUGGGAGGAAUGUGUGGUGUAGCGGUGAAAUGCAUAGAUAUCACACAGAACACCGAUUGCGAAGGCAUCUCACGAAUCCGCGAUUGACGCUGAUGCACGAAAGCGUGGGUAUCAAACAGGAUUAGAUACCCCAGUAGUC